rnacentral:lncRNA from 1 species
CUGAAAAGCAUUUGGAAGUCACACCUAGAAGGAUGCUGGCACCUGUGCUGCUACCAUUCUCCACGCCGGCUCAUGAUUCCUUCUCGGCUCAUGACCCACUCUGGAGUCCUUCCAAAUCAGGGAUUGCCAGCAGGUCAAGAUGAGCCCACAAGUAUCUCUGUGAUAGUGAAAGCUAUGAGAACUAAAGGCUAAGCCAUGAGGUGGAUACUCUGCAAAGGUGGUAUUGUGAAGAUCUGUUGCUCUUACAAAUGGCUAUUUAGAAUUGGAAAGAGAAUAAAGCUCUUGCAAGCACAACAGAUACUUUGGGGAAGACACCCUGGGGAAGACAGCCUGCAGUUCCCAUGUAAGAAGAAAUUGCUAUUUCAUCAUAAAUAUGUGAAAACAGGACAACUAAGCCACCUUAACAGGAUAUAUUACAGACAACAUCUUCUUUCAAGAAGUAGGUGUGUUAUACUGAAGAUUCUGCAUUUACAAUCUAUACAGCAAUCAUACACUAAUGGAAUAUAGAAGGGAAGUGUUUGGAUGUGUGUAAUUGUAUCUACUGAUUUCAUAUUUGAUCCUGAGGAAGCACUUUGGUGCUUGUAAACAGAGCUAAAUUCUUUGGAGGAGAAAGGACUGUGACCAAAUCCUAGCACAAAGCACAAGAGCUCAGGAAGGGGGAAGACACAGGAGUGAAGUUCGUCUAUGUGGCAAAAGGUAUUUUCUCUGAAACCUCUGCAGCUGGCACAUGAGAAAGAAAGAAUCUCUCUCUAUAUAUAUAUCACUCUAUCCUAGAAUCAUUCUCUGAAGGAAAACAGAAAUCAUUCUGGGGAGUGUUUGGGUAACUGUGAGUAAACUUGAUUCAAAGCUUGAAAUGAUUCCUUCUAGCUUCAGAGGACAGAGUUGGCUUUAUUUGCUGAAGCCAGAUCCUGUAAAUCUUAAUAGCCAGCGAUUCUUUAUAUGACCAAACUUUUGCAAGGGUUGAGACCUACUAUCAUAAUUAAAACUGGCAACUUUGAAAUUUUGGUAAACUAUGGACCUGCCUCUCAACCUGUCCCUGGCAUGGACUGAGAUGCCAUCUGUGGCCCUGCAACAUAACUUUAUUGGGAAAGGUAACAUUCUAGUGAAUUACCGAAAGUCUCAGGUCUAAAGCUGAAAUCAACAGAUAUGACUUCACUGAACUUUAGAAACAGCUACAGUCUAAGGUGUUUUGAGCUCAGCUUCAAAGCUGUGCCAUGAUAGCCCUGGUGAGCCCUAAACAGAAGAAGGGCUAUUUUCCCUGAGCCAUGGAAAUUCCCCUCCCAUUCCUCUUGCUUGUAAUUGUCGCACCAGCAAAGCUGGUUCUUUUGGCCUGGUUUAUUUCCCCUGGAAAGUUUUUCUAAUAUACUGAUACAAAAAUGCCUUAAGAACAACUGUACCUUGUUAGACCAAGGGUACUUCCAACUCAACAUCUUCUCUUCAGCAGUAACCGAGAGCAAGUAUAAACUGCCACUACCCUAGAGCGCUUCUCUUCCUUUCCUAGCCUUUA